UCGCCUGUUUAUCAAAAACAUCGCCUCUUGCUUUACAUAAGAGGUCCCGCCUGCCCUGUGACUUAGUUUAACGGCCGCGGUAUUAUAACCGUGCGAAGGUAGCAUAAUAAAUUGUUCUCUAAAUAAGGACUAGUAUGAAAGGCAUCACGAGGGCUUAACUGUCUCCCUUUUCCAAUCAAUGAAACUGAUCUUCUCGUGAAGAAGCGAGAAUAAAUUUAUAAGACGAGAAGACCCCAUGGAGCUUUAAACUUCUCACCACUUAUUUAUCAUUACACCAUUAUAUAUAAUAAAAAUGUUAAUUGAAAGUUUUCGGCUGGGGUGACCCUGGAGAAAAAUAAAUCCUCCAGGAUGAACGGAAUAAAAUCCUAAUCAAAGAGCUACAGCUCUAAGAAUCAAAACACUGACAUCAUUGACCCAACCAUUUGAUCAACGAACCAAGUUACCCUGGGGAUAACAGCGCAAUCCAUUUCAAGAGCCCCUAUCGACAAAUGGGUUUACGACCUCGAUGUUGGAUCGGGGUAUCCCAGUGGCGCAGCCGCUACUAAAGGUUCGUUUGUUCAACGAUUAACAACCCCACGUGAUCUGAGUUCAGACCGGA
rnacentral:rRNA from 1 species